UUCAAGAAAAAGAAUGACUUGCUGCAAUGC
rnacentral:piRNA from 1 species